rnacentral:rRNA from 1 species
GUGGGGAAUCUUGCGCAAUGGGCGAAAGCCUGACGCAGCCAUGCCGCGUGAAUGAUGAAGGUCUUAGUAUUGUAAAAUUCUUUCACCGGGGACGAUAAUGACGGUACCCGGAGAAGAAGCCCCGGCUAACUCCGUGCCAGCAGCCGCGGUAAUACGAAGGGGGCUAGCGUUGCUCGGAUUUACUGGGCGUAAAGGGCGCGUAGGCGGACAUUUAAGUCAGGGGUGAAAUCCCGGGGCUCAACCUCGGAACUGCCUUUGAUACUGGGUGUCUUGAGUAUGAGAGAGGUGUGUGGAACUCCGAGUGUAGAGGUGAAAUUCGUAGAUAUUCGGAAGAACACCAGUGGCGAAGGCGACACACUGGCUCAUUACUGACGCUGAGGCGCGAAAGUGUGGGGAGCAAACAGGAUUAGAAACCCUGGUAGUCC